GAGUUGUUUGGGAAAUAGUUACCAAUGGUUAUCCGUUGUAUGAAAAGGUCGAGGGCAUUUUCAGCCACAUCGACAAGGUCAGAUACCAAAAAAUUUAGCCUUUUCCCAUCUACCAAUUUCUUAUCCCUCAUGAUAUCCAGAAUAUCUCUCAUCUCUUUAAUUACCCAUUCCAUUUCCACAUUUGUUUCAUAAUCUGGAUAAGUAAUGUGGAGCUUCUGUAUCACCGUUAAGAGUAAGGCCUCCGACAUGUCUCUGCUUCCACCAAACUGUCCUAAUAGCCAA
rnacentral:lncRNA from 1 species